UUCCUGUUCCUUUUCUGAUUCCUAUACGCAAGCCCGGCUCCCAUGGCAGGGGUCCUCUGAGGGGGAAGAGCAAAGGCAAAGGACAGAGGAAACCCCACGAGCCAAACAACAUCCUGAAACAAAUCGUGACAGAACUGCACAAAGGGCAUGGGAUGGACAGAGAGGCUCUGUGGAAGGUGGCAUUUCCUGAAGGAAGGGAAGAGAUGCCAGGCACAGUCCCAGGAGGAAAUUGCUGUGCCUCUGGGCCUGAGACCUGCUGAG